rnacentral:rRNA from 1 species
GACGUAGGUGGCGAACGUUUAUCCGGAAUUAUUGGGCGUAAAGGGUGCGUAGGCGGCAUGAUAAGUUAUUGGCGGCAAAUCGAGGCUCAACCUCGUGGAAACUGAUAAUACUGUCUUGCUUGAGUGCAGAAGAGGUUAACGGAACUCCAUGUGGAGCGGUAAAAUGUGUAGAUAUAUGGAAGAACAUCAAUAACGGCGAAGGCAGUUAACUAUUCUGUUACUGACGUUUGAGGCACGAAAGCGUGGGGGAGCAAAGAGG